UCUGAAAACCCCCUAUCCCAUCCUCCCUCCCCCUGCUUCUAUGAGGGUGCUCCCCCACCCACCCACCCACCCACUCCCGCCUCACCCCCUACCAUUCCCCUACACCGGGGCAUUGAGCCUUCAUAGGACCAAGGGCUUCCCCUCCCAUUGAUGCCAGAUAGGGCCAUCCUCUGCUACAUAUGCUGCUGGAGCCAUGGGUCGCUCCACAUCUACUCUUUGGUUGGUGGUUUAGUCCCUGGGAGCUCUGGAGUAUCUGAUUGGUUGGUAUUGUUGUUCUUCCUAUGGGGUUGCAAACCCCUCCAGCUCCCUCAGUCCUUCCCCCAGCUCGGUCUUUAUUUAAAACCCAUGUUGUGGAUGCUGCUGCAUUCCUCGCCUGACAGACAAGGAUGUUGAUUUUUCAACAGCUUUCAGCUUUCCUCAGUUUUAUCCCCAAAAUGAACAACAAAUACCGCUUUACAAAUUUCGUACUAUAACAUUAUACCAUCGUUUCUAGUGAAUAAACACUGAGAAAACUUAAUUUGUAAUCAGUACUGCCCCCUCCCCCUUUGAGUUAAAACACUUCAGCUUGUGUCUUAUUUGAAUUUUUUGUUUGUUUGGAUUAAAGGCUCUGUGUCACUGCCACCUGGCCUUGAAUUUCUCAGGAUGACCUCCCCCAUUGCUGGCACAGGAGGCGCUCAGUCAAUACGCCCGAAUCCAGAUAAAGCACACCAAGCCAACCGGGUUCCACAUGGAGAGAUUUAAUGAGAGAAGAGGAGAGAAGAGGAAAAGAGGCCAGCCAUGGCUGAGGCUACAGGGAGAGGUGGCAGCCAGUCCUACAGAGCCUCACAGGUCAGGCUUCGGUUCAAACUUCGAGCAGCUUUCACAACGCAGAAAAAUCGCUCCUGAUGUAGGUGAUCACUAUCUGUGUUUGUCCAACAAGCACUAUGUCCACCAAAAAUAUUUUGAGGACAAUAGCUUACCAAGACUGAUCAAGGAAGCAAAGUUUAAAAUAAAAAGAUAAAUAGUUCUUCAAGCACCUAGAUAAAAUGACAACUAAAAGUCGAUUCCUCCUCCGUGUCUUCCUUUCUCUCGUUUCCUCUUUAACUCUUCUUGUUUCCCUGUCUCUCUUUCCCUCCAGUACGGGAGGCAUCAGAGUCCAUCUGUGCUGGGGGACCUAGGGAGCCCUGCUGGGAGCAGGAAGGGUGCUGAGGCUGAGAAGGACAGCCAGGCAGGAAGGAGCACAGUCCAGGGAGGAGGAGGACUUGCAGAUGGAGAGAUGUGUUGGGGGAAGUUUGAAGAUUUAUCAGACCGCAAAUAAUUAAAUUGGUCGAAUACAUAAAUAAAGGCAUUGUUGAUAAUGAGCGCCAAGUUUCACUGUGAUGGAGAAUGUACCCGUAAACGUGUCCAGUCAGAAGUCCUGACUAAUCCUAAAGCAUUAGAUUAGACUCUAAUAGAAUCGGUGUGAAUUACAGAUCCAGCGGGUAUGUCUUUCUUACAUUGUCUUGUUGUCCUUUGUUUUUUGAGACAGGCUGGCCUAGAACUCAUGAAGGAUUCCAGGCUGACUUCAAACUCACUCUAACUCUAAUCCUCCUGCUCUAACCUUUCAAGCGAGUGCUAAGAUGAUAGAUAGGUGUGAGCUUUUUCUUUUCCCUCCCCCAUUCUUUCUUGUUUCUUUUCUUCUCUCUUUGGUCUUUUCCUUUCUUCCUUGCCCUCAUUAAUGAGUCAUCUAGUGGCCAAAACCAAAUGGGACUCCAUUAGUCAUAAGAGCAUAAUUCACCCCAAACCUGUCUUCCACUUACUGCCAACUAAUGAAACCAUACACUGAGCUGGAGGGCUGCUUUGGUGGUUAAGAACACAACACUGGCUGCUCUUCCAGAGGAUCCGGGUUUGACUCCCAGCAUCCACAUGACAGCUCAUAAGGGGCUGUGCCUCCAUCCUUUUCUAGCCUCUGAGACACACAGACAUACAGUCAGAACACCCAUAUACAUAAUGUUUUUAAGUUCACAAUGAGGAAGAACAGGAAAUCAUGAACAGCGAGGCGUGAAUGAAAAAAUGUUCCUUACUGAGGGACCUGCAUCCUUUGAGAAACACUUUCAAGCCAUAAAACUUGCAUUUACUGAUGACUUAAACUAACAUACACUUAUUACCGUCUUACUGUGUUUGAGGUUCUGUGUUCUUGCCUGGCACAAAGGCCUGUGAUGAACUGUGUUGAUUCUGUCCUUGGGAGGAAAACACAGCACAGUGAGUGUCCCUAUCCCUUCUCUCUCCUCCCUCUUACUUCCCUCCAAGUGCCCAUGGCCAACCUCCUUUCCUCCCUUCUUCUACUCUUCUUCUCUCAUUAAGCCUCUCUACGUGGAACCAUGUUAGCUUGGUGUGCUUUGUCCCGGUGUGGGCUGAGAUUUUAAACCCUAACAGUGGGGGCCCAUAUGAAGAGAUUGAUCUCCCCGUGCCUACAUGGCCUGGCACCCUGCCACUGCUGACCUCGGGGCAGAAGAUAGGCCUUUUCCACCGCAUACCUCCACCACCUGUCAAGGCUCGAGCAUGCACCACCCAAGAUCGCUGCAGCACGUCCCGCCAUUGAGUUCCACUCUUACAUUCACUGCUGCUUCUGUGUGCACCACCCCAAUUCGAUUGCAGCUGCUGCCUCUGCUAUGCCAUCUACACAUCCGACCACCACCACCACCACCUGCUGGCUUCCACCACAUGAGUUGCUGCUUCAGCUGGCCCACAUGCAGACUUCUGCAUGAGCCGCUGCCCUCUGCGGUUCACCACGUGGUGCCAGCUCUUGCUGCUUAGACAGGCCCGCCCCAACCACACGGUUCCUCUUUUCCUGCUACCAGACUGCAGCUACAGUCUCUUCACAAACACCGGCUGAUUGGUAGGUAUAUUCCGGUUGGCAAGGAGGACCCUGAUUUCCCAGAUAAAGUCUGGCCAGCUUUUCUGAGAUUACGGGAAUUUUCUUGAUCAUUGAGUGGAGUUUCCCUCAAAAGUGGUUCCUCGCUCCCCUCCUGCUCUGGGCUCUCACAGCCAACAACAAAAAAAAAAAUCCCAGGCCUGGGUAGGAACGCUUUCUUGUGUGUCUGGGACCCAUCGUUUAUAGCUGCCAGGAGUCUAAUCCACGACUCAAACACCAGGCGUGGCAGAGUAUUACCAUUACCAUUAAUUUCUCCUGGGACGCUGGUGAGAUUUAAUUGGUGACUUCCUCCAAUGGGAAAUUCGAGGUCUUCGACCGUACCCCCAAAUUCACCGUCAGGAUGUCUUUUAGAGAAUUUCAAAACUUCAAAAUUAACACCUCACCUGAGGACAUCAAAAUUGAUACACCUAUGCAGUAUUCAUUAGAUAAUGUUCAAAAUGGCCGCAUAAUGGCACUCCUUUUUCACUGAAUGAACUUUCUCAAAUAGAAAGCAGACUGGGUUCCUAUACCUCUAAUUCAUUCACUGUUAUUAAAGAGUUCCAGUACAUUACCCAAUCUUACAGCUUGACCUUUCAUGAUGUGCAUAUGGUCCUUACUAAUAAUUUACUUCCUGAGGAACACCGGCAAGUUUGGGAGCAGGACAGUCUUAAAACCAGUGAAUUUUGAAAAAACUACAAGAGGUCAUCCAGGAAGAAACAGGAAAACCCACCCCAAUCUUUAGAACGCCUUACAAAGGCUUUAUUGCAAUACACUAAUCUAGACCUGGAAAACCCAGAAGGUAAACAACUUCUGAUGAACUAUUUCUUUUCCCAAAGGGACAAACUUAAAAAGCUGGAGAGGGGGUCCCUAACCCCGCAGGCAGAAAUUUUGGCGCUGACCUUCAAGGUGUACCAUGGGAGAGAUGGGAAGGCUUGCAGACAAAAGCACCUUAUGCUGGUAACGGCUGUCUGACCAGCCUCAGCCACUCCCUGGAACUCCUGGUCUUCUAAGGCUAAGAGACCACCAGGCUCCUGCCAAAAAUGUGGUCAAGAAGGUCACUGGGCAAGGGCUUGCCCUAACUUCUGAAAACCAAGGGUCCAUGUCCUAGAUGCCAUCAAGAGGGACACUGGGCUGUCGAUUGCCCUCAUGUUGUGCAGGACAGGGGGACAUCAUGCCCAGAUAACCCUCCAGAGGAUCUUCUAGGCUUGGCUAUGGAUGACUGAAGGGUCCUGAGUUCCCUGGACCUGACCACUGCCAUUUCCAGCAGGGAGACAUUAUGGUAUGUGGGUAGCCCAUCUCCUUCCUCUUGGACACCGGGGCCACUUACUCCUAAUGGCGUUUUGGGGACCCAUUUCUUUCUCCCGAUUCCCCAUUGUCGGGGUAAGGGGUAACCUAACUUUCCUCACCAAACCCUACUGCUUAGUUUCAAUUUUAGGGGUGUACCUCCCACUCAUUCCUUUUUGGUGGUGCCGACAUGCCCUGUCCUCUUAUUGGGAAGGGAUCUUCUAGCUAAGUUGGGAGCCUUUAUUUCCUCUGCUCUACCCAUUUGCCUAAAACCAAGCUCGCCUGCACUCCUCUGCUUCUCCUAGCCAGCCAACCUACUAACACGGACAUGUUGCUUCCUUUACCAGCUUUUCAGGUAGACCUCCCUGAGUCUGGGAGGUCCAGAACCCCUCUGUUGCUAAACAGUCUUUCCAAAUAGGAUCUGGAAACUGUCUUAACUGUCCUUUUUGUCAUGACAAACAGUUUUAAGACACCCAGGACACUUUCUACAGGACAAAUUCUUCCUUCUGCUCCACAAAAAGCUUAUCUUAAAGAAUGUUCAUGUUGUUAACUCAUGUUGUUAUCUCUCUUGUAAACUUGUAAGUUACAGGAAACCCUCUCAGACCUAUUGUUGUUGUUAAAAUCUCCUUGUUGCUAAAUAUGGGCCCACGCCCGUCCAGAUAGAGCACACCAAACCAACACAGUUCCACGUGGAGAGAUUUAAUGGGAGAACGAGACAAGGGGAAGGAUCGAGAGAAAGAAGAGGAAGAGAAGGAGGGCAGAAGAGGGCUGCCUUUUAUUUGGAAUGUGAGGUAACUACUCCCAGAUGGAGGUGGGAAUUAAACUAAAGGAAUACUGGGAAUGUACGGCCGUUGCCGUGGCAACAGUGACCAACCGGUGUCGCUGUUGGAGGUAAAGGCAAUUCCUGAUACCAACAUACUUCCCUUUUUCUUAGCAUAAAAAGAAGGGGG